ACGUGGCUGACACAGCUAGUUCUGUGGUUCCACGUCGUCCCCCACUCAGGUCGGGCUUAAAGGGCUAGCAGCCUGAGCUUAAUCUGGAAUACCCCGGGGCUGAAAAGAAGGCUACUGAAAGCCUUUGGUCAGGAGGGAAGAGAGUGUGGAACCACACCUGCUCUUUGCAGGAAAACUGUUGCCAAAGGUACUUUCCCCUCAACAACCCACCCACCUUCUGCCUCCACUAUAGCAGUUUGUUGCUGGGCAACCCACGGUUGCAUUUCGCCACUGACGGAGCUGUUCGUGCGUUCGGGUAUUGGAUCGAAACAGGGACUUUAACUUGGUGUUGGAUUACCGCACCGUGCCAACCUCUCAAAACACAGAGACAAACUGAGAUACUGGAAAGAGCUAAGGAGCAGGAGAGUUUAAGCACACGCCUCCGGUGAGCCUGUGGGUCCCAGUCAGGUUUCUUCCUCCAAGUCGCUUGCCUUUGGACACCUGCUCUUCUGCAAAUAGCAGUUCACUGAAACAAUGAUCUUUUAGGUGGCAAAUGUUUUCUAUUCCUCAUAGAGGUCUCCACCACAGAGACUUGGUGACAAUAGCAUGGCAUUUUGAGUUGACAAUAGAAUGGUAUUUUGUCCAUUCCUUUUAAAUGUAGCAUGCUCCUAGAGUCAGGGUGAGGUUGACAUUUUUAGGUCAAGGAUAACCUUUCUUUUCCCUCAAAACCAGGUAUGAAAUGUCCCUUCUACUUGAAAAUAGCUCUUAGUAACACAAAAGCCCAAUAUAUGUGUGUCUCUCUUAUACAUACCACACACAAAUUUACUCCACAGUAUACUAAAGUUUGUGUGUGUGUGUGUGUGUGUGUGUGUGUGUACAUUCAAGCAAACACCAGGGAGGCAAAUGUUUCUCUUUCCGCUGGUGUCCCCUGAGGGCUAGGACACAAAGAUAUCUGUGUUCAAGGCAUCAUCGAGCAUGGCGAGUGAGUCUAGAAAAGAUAUAAAGAGCGAUAGGCGUGCACGGAAGUGAGAGGGCCUGGGGGGUAUUAUAAUAUUUCUGUAGUGAAAGGGUAAGGAUCUUUCAAACAGGGAGAGUGAUAUACAAGGAGCAGGUCUGAAGGCGGAGCAGAUCCCCAGAGGAGGGAGCACUCAGCUAUCUCGUUGAUCAGGGCUGAGACUCCCUGGAGGUGUGAGGGACAUUCUGUAUCUUUUUUUUUUUUUAAUUAUUUUUAUUUGGAGGCCAUUCCUAAUGAAUCUUUUUCCAACCUGGCUUAAGCCUUAAGUCUCUUUGUGUCCAGAAGUCACUGUUUUACCCACCAUCCACCUAAGAGGGUGAGAGGACUUAUCUAAAGACAAGGCACUAGGGAUUCAUCAGCUACGUGUCCAUGUUACAUCAGAAAUGGUUACUUGAAUACCUGUCAUAUAAUCUGGAUAAUUUUGCUCCCAUGAUGAUAGUGCUCCCUUGAUUAACAGAGAAAGAAACAAAUACAUGGCUCACUUGAAAUUUGUGUCUCUCCUGGUAAUAGUCUAACCAUGUGUACGUAUCCUGAAGAGUCACUCAUCAGUCAUCACGGGGACUCACAGAUCUGCUGAGUUGCAACUGUCCCUGUGCUGAGCAGACAGCACACAUCUACCAAGCAGCCGAGUGCCUCCCAGUAAGCAAGGCCAACCUACUAUUAAAUCAAUCCCCUGACAAAGCAUAGCUCAGAAAUGUUUCACCGUGUGUGAAAAGACCACAGGAGCUCUGUAAAGUCUGGGGCUCUGAAACUUGCAAAGCCUGCCAGUGGCCCUGGCCUUUUCUUCCUGCCUUUUUCCUUUCAUUCUAGCUAGCAAAACUCAUCAACUGGGCCGACAUGGAUUUGGAAAUAAUACAGAAAUUCUUAAGGUCCAAUCAACUGGUCUAGAACUCACUAUGUAGAGCAGUUUGACCUUGAACUUGUGGCAAUUCUUCUGUCUCUCUCUUCUGAAUUAUACACGGCAUCACAUCCAAGUUAGAGUUCUGGUUUUGUUUUAUGUUUUGUUUGCCUCUGCCUCCCGAUUGCUGGGAUUAAAGGCAUGCGCCACCACCGCCCGGUGAGUUCUGGUUCUUAAACUUGACUGGCAAUAGGAAUUCUAGAGAUUGGGAAAGACGCUGAAACAGAUUUCUGAACAGGGCAGAAAUUCCCAGUAUUACUACAAAUAAAGGAAAGAAAGUAUGGA